GCGGUCGUAGCGCAGCGCGGCGACGUCGACGGCCUUCUCGGCGGUGGCCAGGUCGACGGCGGGCAUCCCCUGCGCGAUCGCCGCGCCCGCGGCCGCU
rnacentral:tRNA from 1 species